UUGCCGCAGCACAAGAGCUUUUUAGAAGAGGGACGGAGACGCAUCGAGAAGAGCGGGGGCGAACAGAGGCGGCGCCCGCGCCGGCCGCGAGCCGGCAGGCGUGUGCUGCGUUGCGGGGCGGGGCGGGAGGCGAGGGUGACAAGCCAGCCGGGUUCUAGGAGUAGGCUUGAAUUCUGUUUUACCCGAGUUCUCAAAAACGAAACAAGUAGUGACCGCAACAGGAAAACCCGUCAUCUUAGAACCGGAACCUGGUGUGACAACAACUUUUCUCUAAUUUACUCUUGUGCCAUAGUGAAUGUUGUUUCCCUUCAGGUGUUGAUACGGUUGAAACACUCGUCAAACGGUGUCUUUGGGAGAAGAUAAACUUCCUCUUACUCUGGGCCUAGCUUUAAUAUCUAUGAGAAGUGGUUCGAACAAACUUUAAAGUAAGUGAAUUCAAUCUCACAUGUUUCAACCAACUAAUAAUACGUCGUGACAAGAAGCGUGUUUAACUAAGAGAUUCGGGACUUCUUAAAACGCAUAGUCGUUCAGAAACACUCCUUCAAUGUAUGUAAGCGGAGGGUCCUGUACUUGUACGAACGUGGGAAACGGUACUCCAACAACUACUCUAAGCAUGACCAGAACUUCUGGGACUCUACCUCGAGUUCUAUUAGCUCUAUGAAGACUUUCCUACGUUGUUGUGUCUCUCGAAGCAUGUCUUCACGUUCUUCUACUAUUAGGUUUUACGUGGUGAGUAUGAUCUUCUAUAGUUCUUCAAAGAGCUCUUCUCUCUAAAGACGCUAAGAUAGGCACAGACACCUCCGUUUUAACGAGCGGGAGGUCCUCCUCCAGACUCUCCGGACAGAUGACACACUCGAGAAAGAAAAGGACUUGUGCGUACUGCUAACGCACCGUAAAUUACUUCUUGUGCCCCCGAUAGACUGGAGUGCGCCACUACAAAUCUUCUUUCUAACCACCACAUUCAGAUGCUUGCUUUUCUAGAAGGUAUUACGAUAAAGGCUCGUCACAUGAGGGAGGCAGGGUUUUAAGAACAGAAUCUAAACAGAUCUAUGCCUACAUGGAUUGUGAUUUUGCACUGAACUAUGUAGGCAUAAACCUGUUUAGAUUCUGUUCUUAAAACUCUGCCUCCCUCGUAUAUAAUAUGUCGUAACCGUAACAUGGACACCUCUUCACAUAUAUAAUAGUGUCAGUAGUUUACUUUAAAGACACUAUCAACAACGAUGUACUAGCAAGUACCUUGCAUUCGUUUUACAUACGAAUUUCACAUCUCGUAUAUGCGCACAUUUGUUUAAUACUUGAUACACGUCACCUGAAAAUAAAUACUACGUCUAGACCGGGAAAGAAAACUACUGACACUAUCCCGUGAAGG
rnacentral:rRNA from 1 species